GGAUAACAUUCUGAAAAGAAUGCUAAUACCGCAUGACAUAUCGGAACCACAUGGUUUUGAUAUCAAAGAUUUUAUCGCUUGAAGAUGGACUCGCGUCCGAUUAGUUAGUUGGUGAGGUAACGGCUCACCAAGACCGCGAUCGGUAGCCGGACUGAGAGGUUGAACGGCCACAUUGGGACUGAGACACGGCCCAGACUCCUACGGGAGGCAGCAGUGGGGGAUAUUGCGCAAUGGGGGCAACCCUGACGCAGCAACGCCGCGUGAAGGAUGAAGGUUUUCGGAUUGUAAACUUCUUUUAUUAAGGACGAAAAAUGACGGUACUUAAUGAAUAAGCUCCGGCUAACUACGUGCCAGCAGCCGCGGUAAUACGUAGGGAGCAAGCGUUGUCCGGAUUUACUGGGUGUAAAGGGUGCGUAGGCGGCUUUGCAAGUCAGAUGUGAAAUCUAUGGGCUCAACCCAUAAACUGCAUUUGAAACUGUAGAGCUUGAGUGAAGUAGAGGCAGGCGGAAUUCCCCGUGUAGCGGUGAAAUGCGUAGAGAUGGGGAGGAACACCAGUGGCGAAGGCGGCCUGCUGGGCUUUAACUGACGCUGAGGCACGAAAGCGUGGGUAGCAAACAGGAUUAGAUACCCUGGUAGUCCACGCUGUAAACGAUGAUUACUAGGUGUGGGGGGUCUGACCCCUUCCGUGCCGGAG
rnacentral:rRNA from 1 species